rnacentral:rRNA from 1 species
GACGAACGCUGGCGGCGUGCUUAACACAUGCAAGUCGAACGGAAAGGCCCUGCUUUUGUGGGGUGCUCGAGUGGCGAACGGGUGAGUAACACGUGAGUAACCUGCCCUUGACUUUGGGAUAACUUCAGGAAACUGGGGCUAAUACCGGAUAGGAGCUCCUGCUGCAUGGUGGGGGUUGGAAAGUUUCGGCGGUUGGGGAUGGACUCGCGGCUUAUCAGCUUGUUGGUGGGGUAGUGGCUUACCAAGGCUUUGACGGGUAGCCGGCCUGAGAGGGUGACCGGCCACAUUGGGCCUGAGGUACGGCCCAGACUCCUACGGGAGGCAGCAGUGGGGAAUAUUGCAAAAUGGGCGGAAGCCGGAUGCAGCAACGCCGCGUGCGGGAUGACGGCCUUCGGGUUGUAAACCGCUUUCGCCUGUGACGAAGCGUGAGUGACGGUAAUGGGUAAAGAAGCACCGGCUACCUACGU